rnacentral:rRNA from 1 species
UAGGGAAUCUUCCGCAAUGGACGCAAGUCUGACGGAGCAACGCCGCGUGAGUGAAGAAGGACUUCGGUUCGUAAAACUCUGUUGUUAGAGAAGAACAGCGCAUAGAGUAACUGUUAUGCGUGUGACGGUAUCUAACCAGAAAGCCACGGCUAACUACGUGCCAGCAGCCGCGGUAAUACGUAGGUGGCAAGCGUUGUCCGGAUUUAUUGGGCGUAAAGCGAGCGCAGGCGGUCAAUUAAGUCUGAUGUGAAAGCCCCCGGCUCAACCGGGGAGGGUCAUUGGAAACUGGUUGACUUGAGUGCAGAAGAGGAGAGUGGAAUUCCAUGUGUAGCGGUGAAAUGAGUAGAUAUAUGGAGGAACACCAGUGGCGAAGGCGACUCUCUGGUCUGUAACUGACGCUGAGGCUCGAAAGCGUGGGUAGCAAACAGG